rnacentral:lncRNA from 1 species
UCUAUGAAUAAUGAAUAAUGAUCAAGGGGUGCCUCCUCCAGGGGCCAGGGGGUCUGGUUUUAUAGUCCCCUCAAGUGAACCUGGGCCAUCGGAUCAAACCGACAUUGAUUGAAUGGUUAUUCUUGAUCCUUUAGGUCGGUGGAGCAUAAUCCGCGGGAUUGAGCGUGAUUGGCCGAAAAAGGUGGGCGGGCGCCCUAAGGACUUGGGCGGGCGCCCUGUCCCUGACUCUGUUCGGUCUCCGCUUCCUUCCCGUGGCUUCUGGAGUCUUCUAGAUGUAAGAUAAUUGCACGACACGUUGAUAUCUCUAUGUAAUCCCGACGUGUGGGCCUUUCUUCCUUAUUUCCUGAUAACCCCCUGCAGAAAUAGACAAACACCAAAACUCAUGGAAUUCUGUCAGAUAAAACCCUAAGUCUUGAUGUUGAUUUCAUUUGGAUCCUUUUCUUUGUUUAUUUGAUAGUUAAAUUUGAUACUUAAGGACCGUCAACAAACUCCCACAAGCUUACCUCUUGCUCGUCCCUGAGCAAGGAUAGACUCAGCUAUGGAUCAUAAGUAGUUGCAAUAUCUUUAAAAAUUUGACGGUACACAUGCUUCUGAAUAAGAUCUCAUCUUCGAGUUAGAGUAAACUGUCAAGACUUAAAACUUACUUACUUUACCUUCACCAUGGGACUUGUAACCAUCACUUCUGUAUUGAGAGGUUAAAAGAUAGAACAGUCCCGUCAAGUGCCAUGUCUCUUAUUCUUGAUCAGCUAUAGCUCUGGAGUUUUUGCAGAUUUUCAAAUAAAACUCAGAGAUUCCUUUGUAUGACUCUCUCAUAUCUCUCUUUUGUGGUAUUUCUGGACCCUUACCAAGGCAGUGAUGGUAUAUGCCUUCUCUCAAAAUAUGUGGUAUUUGUGGUAUAAGGCAUAGUGACAUUGCCUUCUCUCUCACCCUACUCUAAUAAGGCUUUAAUAUCUAGAGCUCAUAGGUGGGAGAUAAAGUAUACAUACUUACAAGACAUUUAUUGUAUAGUCAAACCAUGGAUCCAAAGAAACAAAUCAAUAAGCCAAAUCAAGAUGUGCAUGUGUGGCGAAUGAAUGGUGUAUAGUGAUGAUGGUGAUAACAAUGGUGAAAGUCUAAUUCUACUUUUGCUCUUAUGAGGGGAUACAUACCUUCCUUGCUUUUUGAAACUUUAUGAGGAGAAUGAGAUGCUCUUCUUUUUCUUUCCCCUCAGGUGGGUAUCUUGUACCCCUAAUUCUACUGUCGGACACUUGUCCAUUUUUACCUCUCGUCUCACUUUUUCUUUCUUUCGAGGUUCCGGGCACUUGCCCCUUUUUAUUUCCUCGUUUAUUAUUUUUUUUCUUUUCUUCUCUUUUCUUUUUUUUUUCAGAGCACUCAUCUCCUGAAAUAAUGUAGCAAGUGGUAGUAACCAAAAUAACUGGAGCAUUUAUUUCACAGGGAAUAACAGGGAUAGGAAAAUGUUUUUGGCUAUUCUCUCCCGGAUUAGGAGUAGAAUGAUUUUGGGUGAAACUGGAGAUGGAAAUGGAUGGAUAUAUGUGGAUGGUACUUCCGGAGUAGAAGUAGCAUAUAUGAGUGAACGUGCAAGUGAAUCUUGAUUUAACCACAUGACAAGCUCCUAAGGGUCUACAUAGCUUGACCACACUCAAUGCUCAUAAGCAGUAAAUAAUAAAUGUGUGGCUCAAAGUCUAGCAAGCAUGUAUAUAUGGCUGUGGUAGGAAUUUAAACUUUCAUCAUACAGGAACUCAUCAUGCAAUAUUUUAAAGAUUUUUCAAAGAUAAAAUUCUCCAGAAUUCUAGCAUCUCUAGGAAAAGAUAAACAGCAGCUCAACCUUCCCAUAUCAUAUCCGUUAACAACUUAGAUUUCAGAUCAAGUUUUCAUCCCACAAGUUUAGAUCUAGAGCAAGCCUUAAAUUAUAACAGUUAUGUCUAAACUUGAGAGAGAACUUCAAAUUUGCAAAUUAGGCAGAGCAACUAUUCAUCAUAUCCAUGCUAGAGUUUUAUUAUUAAGAUUCAGAUUAGCAUAGCCACUUUAUUUAUUUAUUAAACACACUAAGCAAAAGAUAUAUAUAUAUAAGCACAAAAUCUUUAUUUGUUUUUCAUAGUUUAUGUAUUUUAAUAUUCUAAUAUAAUAUAAGUAUAAAGAUAGGUAGAAAUACUUAGCGAGAUAAAUGGGGGUGCUCUCCCCCAAGCUGAAUUUUGACGUAAUUUCUCUUGAUGUAGCUAGCAGGUGGCAGAGGUGUAUUUGAAAGUCAGCAGCAUUCUGACAGCGAUUAGAAUGUCCUCCGUCUGCUAGUCUUCUUGAUUCUUAAAUUCUGUGGAGCUCAAAUAGACAACAAAGCUUGUGGAACUAAUUAAGUGUUAGCAUAAAUAUCUAGUCUUCAUCACGUUGAGCUUCCCCAAUAAAUAUUACUCCCUGUUUUUAUAUUUUUAUUUUAUAAAGUAGAAAAGAAAUAUUUAUUUUAUUUUUAUGCCACCACAGUGAAGAUACUUAUGGGUUUUAUGUCACUCGUAUACUCACAUGGGGCUUAGUAUUUUUUAACAUUUUUAUUUUCUUUUCAAGAUAAUCUAUUUAAGAAAAGUAAAUAAUUAAAGGGAAAAGGGAAUGCAGAAAGGAUAAAUACGGAUAACUACCAAUCUUACCUUUCGGCGAGGGUUCAAUGUUUUAAGUCUUCUUGACAAGACCUCUUACCGUGUUCAUUCUUCAGGUGCGUCAUUUGAUUCAGGUGCGGACCUUGACGUCUGCACCUUUUAAUACGGUGUCACCCAUGUUCUUCGUUUGCCCAGCAGUUCGAAGUGCGGUGUUGGCAGUAACCUGCUCAGUGUGUUUGUGCUCGUAGAUCCAGGUCCUUACUUGAAGAGUGACGGUACAGUAUCACCUUGUGGAAGCUUUCCUUUCUUAGCGGUUGUGCAUCGUGUUUGUGGCACCCUCCAUGGAUCAUCUCUCUAUGAUGAAUGAGCUAUAUCCUUCUUGUGCAAAUUGUUAAACUUCAUGUGUCACUCUCUUCGUCUCUGAUGUGAGUUUAUCUCAGGACUUCCCAAAUCGAUUUUGGAAGUUUUUCUGUAGGGGUUAGUCCGACAAAAUAUACCAAUAUCUACUCAAGCAGUUUUUUUUAGUUCAAUAACCAAACUAGACUCCAUGUCUAAUCAGAUUAAGGAAGGCUAUUUAACCUAAGCACCAUGCUUAAUUUAAAUGCCAAUGGAAGUAUGGCGAGUACUUCCAAACCAACACUUGCUAGUAAAUAGACAAAGGUAGCAUGACAGCGUUUAUAGAGAUCUACUCAAGUGGAGAUGAAGUAGUGUGAUUAGUAUUUAACAAAUUGAGCAUGUCUUAAAGGUAGGGACAACCAGCAUAGCAACAUGGCAAAUGAUGUUUUUAUGUAAAGUACUCCCCCAAGCUUGAAUUUUGCAAAAUUCAAGUUUGGAUGAAUUUAAUUCAAUGUUGUAUGAUGAUUGGUUGGACAUACCUUGUGCUUGUCAUUCAUCCGAUCUUCUUGCUCCAAUCCUAGAAAGGUUAGUGACAAGAAUACCCGAAGGAAUAUUUUUUUUUACAAUUAUCCUUAUAUGCUCAAUACACAAAGUGGCUAUGAAAUAAAUUCCAUGCUCAUUAAUGUUAUCUUCAUCUCUAAUCUGAAUGUUCGGAGUUUCUCCUGGAUUGGUCUCACCUAUGUCCUCUUCUGUAGUUGGAUGAAUCUCAUCUUCAAAGGGAGUCAAGAACUCACCAUUUGAAAUUGAGCCAAAGUCAGAACCUAUUAAGGCUUCUUCCUUAUCCAUCCAUUCUACACAUUCUAGCCAUUUAGAACUUGUGAUCAAAAUAGGGGAGGUGUUAGAAUUUUCUAUAUGGCUUAGCUCUCCUUCUAUGGCAUUACUUGACAUGCCAUCCUUAUGGUCUUCAUGACUCCUAUGGUUUGGUCUUCUUGGUGAAUUUCUAGGAUCAUCAUGAGACUGAAAAGAAGAGGGAUAAGAGGGAUCUCUAAGGUCAAGGAUGGAUUUAGAACUUGUGAACAUGGAAGGGGAGUAGAUAGAAUUGUCUAUAUGGCUUAGCUCUCCUUCACUUGAUAUGUCAUCCUCGACUUCUUCAUGAUAGGAACCAGGACAUUCUCUAAGAGAAACAUUAUUGCAAGGAUUUGAAUUAUCCCUACUGGAAGGUCUCUUAUAGAACCAGAAGUCUAAACCAUCAGCAUCUAAAAGAUUUAAGGUCGGAAUUCCUUCCUCCCUUGGAGAAUUUUGGGGUAUUGAUGGUUUAGGAUCGAUAGCUAAAGUUUGGGAUUGAAGUGGUUGUGAUCUGGCUAUCGAAACAUCUUCUUCUUGUCUAGGAACUGGUUCUUUCUCUUUCUCAGGGAUAUAAAAGCUAGGAGACUUUCCGCUCAUUAAAUCAAUCAAAUUCCAAGCUUCACUAGCGGAUAGGUGGUGGAAAGAUCCUCCAGAGGCCGCAUGAAGGGUUUGCUUAUUUUUCCUACUAAGGCCCUCAAAAAAGUGAAUUAGAAGAACUUCUUCUGGAAUAGAAAGUUUUGGGCCAGUGAGAGUAAGGUUAAUAAAGCGGUCCCAUGAUUUGCCAAGAGAUUCUUCUUCCAGUUGUCUAAAAGAAAGAAUCUCACACCGAAGUUCCACCACUUUGGAGAUUGGAAAAUAUUUAGAAAGAAAACUACUAUAUAACUCCUUCCAAUCUCCAUGAACACUCCCUACUUUGAGUUUAUACCAAUGUCUAGCUUUUCCCGUUAAAGAGAACGGAAAGAGCUUCCAUUUAAGGGUCUCAUCGGACAUGCCUUCUAUGCGAAGGAGGUCACAGACUCGAUAAAACUCUCUUAGGUGUGUGUAUGGGUUUUCCUCACCUUUUCCUGAGAAAGGUUGUUUUUGAAUAAAUUCUAUGUAUUCGGGGUCUAUCUCAAAACUAGAUGCUAUGAUAGGCUUUGAAGAUUUUGGUGGUUCGAGAUGUGUGCCCAUAGGUCUAUGAAAUUCAUAGAUAGACAUGUUUGAAUUCAUAAUAGACCAGAGAUCAAGGAUUAGAUAAGAAGAAAGAAUAGCAGAGAUGAGGCAAAGGAUAAAAGGAAAAUAUAUAUUUUUUUAUUUAUUUAUUUGUUAUAAAAUGAUUAAACUAGUUCGUAGUCAACUCAGCAACCGUUUCCCGGCAACGGCGCCAAAAAUGCUUGUUGACACUUGCUAACACCACUUGAAUACUAGGUUGUCAUCCCCAACGUGGCACUAGAGUGUACUAUGGUAUUUAUAUGCACACAGAUAAUCUGCAAGCGCACGGAUACCGUUGAAGCUUUUACCCGGUUAAAGGUUUUAUCGUAUCCACAGGGAAACGGGAGAACCAACUACGCUCUAACUUAACCAAGAUAGAUAGAUAGGUAUAAAUAGGAAAGAUAGUAGAAUUGAAUAAGAACAAUAUUAAAGGUAAGAUAACAGUGAGUGAUAAUAUGGGAAUAGAGAGUAGAGCAAUUCUAGUAUAUGGGCGAUGGUAGCAGAAUAGAGAGGAUAACUAUGGUUUCUCUACUUCAAAGGGGUAUGUCUAUGUCUGGGACGAACCACGUGAUAAGAGUACACCACAAAGGAUGCUUAUCCAUAGGCCGAUAAACCCUACCCGUCCUGCUAACGAGAGGUGGACUACAGGGGACCAACGUAACUAUCACCUACGCAGCCUACCACACGAUCCAGCUAGUCAGGGGAUAUCCACAAGUAAUCUAGGUCUAAGCACCACGCUUACACCUAUACUACAACUCUAACCUAUAGGGUCCUAUAGAUUAGAAGUACUCAAAAGAGUUGUGAACCAGAACAUACAUGAUUAGUAAUUGCAUAAUGAAUUAGAAGUAGAUUACUAGAGUCAUCCCAUGAGCAAGCUUGAUUAGAGCUUGAUCAUGGCGAAGUACAACCGGAGGAAGAACCGACAGGCCGGCCUCUCCUCUAAUCCUCCUUCGCUCUCCAUCUCGCUACUAUCUAGAUCUACUCUAGUUUAGAGAAGAGAGGAGAGCUCUCAUCUCUAAACCCUAGCUUUUGCUCUGUCUAUGAAUAAUGAAUAAUGAUCAAGGGGUGCCUCCUCCAGGGGCCAGGGGGUCUGGUUUUAUAGUCCCCUCAAGUGAACCUGGGCCGUCGGAUCAAACCGACAUUGAUUGAACGGUUAUUCUUGAUCCUUUAGGUCGGUGGAGCAUAAUCCGCGAGAUUGAGCGUGAUUGGCCGAAAAAGGUGGGCGGGCGCCCUAAGGACUUGGGCGGGCGCCCUGUCCCUGACUCUGUUCGGUCUCCGCUUCCUUCCCGUGGCUUCUGGAGUCUU